rnacentral:misc_RNA from 1 species
UCGAUUCNACACAAAUGAGAAGGGAGUCGUUUGCAGCUGUGCUGGCCUCCGACAAAGGGGCAUGUGCACGCUCGACUUCUCCUUUUCUUCAUUUACACACCUGUGAACCUGUUUGUAGGGUGUCUCGCAAGGGAUGCUCUAUGUCUUUUUCAUAUACUCCAUCGUAUGUUUAUAGAAUGUAUCUUUUUGCUCUCGUCAGAGACAAAAGUAAAGCCUUUAUAACUUUCAGCAACGGAUCUCUUGGCUCUCGCAUCGAUGAAGAACGCAGCGAAUUGCGAUAUGUAAUGUGAAUUGCAGAUUUUCAGUGAAUCAUCGAAUCUUUGAACGCACCUUGCGCUCCUUGGUAUUCCGAGGAGCAUGCCUGUUUGAGUGUCAUUAAAUUCUCAACUCCCUUUGAUUUUUUCAAGGGUGAGCUUGGAUCGUGGAGGUUCUGCCGGCUGUGAAGUCGGCUCCUCUGAAAUGCAUUGGCAAAUGCGUGUGCAUGAAUCGGCCUUUCGGUGUGAUAAUGAUCACCGUGGCUGGAUUGCUUUAACGCCUAUGCCCAACCUUUUCCAUUCACUUGGAAAAACCCCANUUGACAUUUUG